rnacentral:rRNA from 1 species
CCCCUAGUAACUGCGAGUGAAGCGGGAAAAGCUCAAAUUUAAAAUCUGGCGGUCUUUGGCCGUCCGAGUUGUAGUCUGGAGAAGUGUUUUCCGCGCUGGACCGUGUAUAAGUCUCUUGGAACAGAGCGUCAUAGAGGGUGAGAAUCCCGUCUUUGACACGGACUACCAGUGCUUUGUGAUGCGCUCUCAAAGAGUCGAGUUGUUUGGGAAUGCAGCUCAAAAUGGGUGGUGAAUUCCAUCUAAAGCUAAAUAUUGGCGAGAGACCGAUAGCGAACAAGUACCGUGAGGGAAAGAUGAAAAGCACUUUGGAAAGAGAGUUAAACAGUACGUGAAAUUGCUGAAAGGGAAACGCUUGAAGUCAGUCGCGUUGUCUGGAACUCAGCCUUGCUUUCGCUUGGUGCAUUUUCCGGAUGACGGGCCAGCAUCGAUUUUGACCGUCGGAAAAGGGCUAGGGUAAUGUGGCACCUCCGGGUGUGUUAUAGACCUUAGUCGCAUACGGCGGUUGGGAUCGAGGAACGCAGCGCGCCGCAAGGCAGGGGUUCGCCCACUUUCGCGCUUAGGAUGCUGGCGUAAUGGCUUUAAACGACCCGUCUUGAAACACGGACCAAGGAGUCUAACAUACCUGCGAGUGUUUGGGUGGAAAACCCGAGCGCGUAAUGAAAGUGAAAGUUGAGACCUCUGUCGUGGAGGGCACCGACGCCCGGACCUGACGUUCUCUGACGGAUCCGCGGUAGAGCAUGUAUGUUGGGACCCGAAAGAUGGUGAACUAUGCCUGAAUAGGGUGAAGCCAGAGGAAACUCUGGUGGAGGCUCGUAGCGAUUCUGACGUGCAAAUCGAUCGUCAAAUUUGGGUAUAGGGGCGAAAGACUAAUCGA